rnacentral:rRNA from 1 species
UGCAUAUCCAAAUAAGCGGAGGAAAAGAAACCAACAGGGAUUGCCUUAGUAGCGGCGAGUGAAGCGGCAAAAGCUCAAAUUUGAAAUCUGGCACUUUCAGUGUCCGAGUUGUAAUUUGAAGAAGGUAUCUUUGGGUCUGGCUCUUGUCUAUGUUUCUUGGAACAGAACGUCACAGAGGGUGAGAAUCCCGUGCGAUGAGAUGUCCCAGACCUAUGUAAAGUUCCUUCGAAGAGUCGAGUUGUUUGGGAAUGCAGCUCUAAGUGGGUGGUAAAUUCCAUCUAAAGCUAAAUAUUGGCGAGAGACCGAUAGCGAACAAGUACAGUGAUGGAAAGAUGAAAAGAACUUUGAAAAGAGAGUGAAAAAGUACGUGAAAUUGUUGAAAGGGAAGGGCUUGAGAUCAGACUUGGUAUUUUGUAUGUUACUCUCUCGGGGGUGGCCUCUACAGUUUACCGGGCCAGCAUCAGUUUGAGCGGUAGGAUAAGUGCAAAGAAAUGUGGCACUGCUUCGGUAGUGUGUUAUAGUCUUUGUCGAUACUGCCAGCUUAGACUGAGGACUGCGGCUUCGGCCUAGGAUGUUGGCAUAAUGAUCUUAAGUCGCCCGUCUUGACCACGGGACCA